rnacentral:rRNA from 1 species
AACGAACGCUGGCGGCAGGCUUAACACAUGCAAGUCGAGCGCCCCGCAAGGGGAGCGGCAGACGGGUGAGUAACGCGUGGGAAUCUACCCAUCCCUACGGAACAACUCCGGGAAACUGGAGCUAAUACCGUAUACGCCCUUCGGGGGAAAGAUUUAUCGGGGAUGGAUGAGCCCGCGUUGGAUUAGCUAGUUGGUGGGGUAAUGGCCUACCAAGGCGACGAUCCAUAGCUGGUCUGAGAGGAUGAUCAGCCACACUGGGACUGAGACACGGCCCAGACUCCUACGGGAGGCAGCAGUGGGGAAUAUUGGACAAUGGGCGAAAGCCUGAUCCAGCCAUGCCGCGUGAGUGAUGAAGGCCCUAGGGUUGUAAAGCUCUUUCACCGGUGAAGAUAAUGACGGUAACCGGAGAAGAAGCCCCGGCUAACUUCGUGCCAGCAGCCGCCGCGGUAA